CUCAGUAACGGCGAGUGAAGCGGCAACAGCUCAAAUUUGAAAUCUGGGUCUUUCAGGCUCCGAGUUGUAAUUUGUAGAAGAUGCUUCGGGUGUGGCUCCGGUCUAAGUUCCUUGGAACAGGACGUCAUAGAGGGUGAGAAUCCCGUACGUGACUGGUUGCCUUCGCCCAUGUGAAGCUCUUUCGACGAGUCGAGUUGUUUGGGAAUGCAGCUCAAAAUGGGUGGUAAAUUUCAUCUAAAGCUAAAUAUUGGCCAGAGACCGAUAGCGCACAAGUAGAGUGAUCGAAAGAUGAAAAGCACUUUGGAAAGAGAGUUAAACAGUACGUGAAAUUGUUGAAAGGGAAGCGCUUGCAACCAGACUUGCACGCUGCUGAUCAUCCGGGGUUCUCCCCGGUGCACUCGGUGGUGUUCAGGCCAGCAUCGGUUUGGGUGGUUGGAUAAAGGCCUUGGGAAUGUAGCUUCUUUCGGGGAGUGUUAUAGCCCUCGGUGCAAUGCAGCCUACCCGGACCGAGGACCGCGCUUCGGCUAGGAUGCUGGCGUAAUGGUUGUAAGCGACCCGUCUUGAAACACGGACCAAGGAGUCUAACAUCUAUGCGAGUGUUUGGGUGUCAAACCCAUACGCGUAAUGAAAGUGAACGGAGGUGAGAACCCUUAAGGGUGCAUCAUCGACCGAUCCUGAUGUCUUCGGAUGGAUUUGAGUAAGAGCAUAGCUGUUGGGACCCGAAAGAUGGUGAUCUAUACUUGAAUAGGGUGAAGCCAGAGGAAACUCUGGUGGAGGCUCGCAGCGGUUCUGACGUGCAAAUCGAUCGUC
rnacentral:rRNA from 1 species